CCCGCCCGAGGGGGCCCCAGGCCCCGAUCCUGCGCAUGCGGCUGCUGAACACGUUGACAGGGCAGGGGGCGAUAGUGAAGUCGGACCGUACCCGAGGGCCCCUGCAGGGGGCGCUGCUGUGGAACGCGCAUGCGCGGGGGUACGCGUGGCUGAGCGGGGGGGCCCCCCUGCGGCCGGAGGACCCGCAGCCCCCCCCCGAGCCUGGCUGCCCCCCCCCCACAGCACUGCUGUACUAUGGGGAUGACUUCGGGGAGGACUGAGCCCCAUAGUACCCUCAGGACCGGCUCUGGGUGACACCGGGGGGGGGGGGUCCCUUAUUGGGGUCCCCCCCCCAAGUCUGGGGGUGAAACCGUGAGUGUGUGAGCAGAAAUAAAACCCUU